ensembl:lncRNA
CUCCAGUCCUUCUCCAACUGGAUUCCACUUCUGUGCUUUCCGCCCUGCCCCCCCGCACUCAAAGCUCUGCUCCCCGACCUUCACUCCCCGAGAGGAGGUGCCAAAGACUCGUCUCUGGCAGCCGAGUGUACUCUACAGUAUGGGGGAUCCAUGGAAGUGGGGUGAUGGGACACCCCCAGGGGAGUGACGAUGUAUCACUCAAGGAAGAGAGGAACUAAGAAUAUGACGGUGACUUUAACAACAUCUGAGCUUUCUUUCAAGUGGAAUGCCCUUGGUGAGAAGCAUUUGGGCCAAUAUGUAAACAGUGAAUUUUGUUCCACACAUGCCAGCUCUUCUGGAGAAGAUCCGUACCUGGACAGGUUUCAGGGGCAAAAGCCUACUGUCUUGGCUUCGAACCAGGAAGCCUCCCUGCUUGGAGAGCAUCAGAGGCCUUCAGCUGCUGUCAUACCCAUGAUGAGGGUGCUCUGAAGAAGCCACAAGCCCACCCCAAACCCAGGCCUCUUGGCUCCAGGCCAGGUGGUUCCAGCUACUCCACCACCUCCACCUGGAAUCCCAGCAAGAGAUCUUAUUUCUGAGGCAUUGAAUGCCAAUAAACAAUAAAUGCCCAACUGGACACAGGGCAAUGAUACUGAGAGGCCAGAGAACUUUUAUCAAAGAUGAGAGCUUGGUCUCAACUGCAUUUUUCCGGAAUCCCAAGGUACUGGGGAGGUCACCUAACGUCCCCCACAGCCUCUCCACUAGCAGAAGGGAAGAAUGAAAGAUGCGAACGAGAACUCCCGGGGUCUCCAUGCCAUGCCUCACCUCCUCACUAAGAAAGAGAACUUGGCCUUGGGCAGGGGGCCUGGGAACCCGGGCGUUUCUCUGGGAGCAGCUCUGCGGUAAGACGCCACCACACGCCUU